rnacentral:rRNA from 1 species
AUUGAACGCUGGCGGCAGGCCUAACACAUGCAAGUCGAGCGGAGCGGCGGACGGGUGAGUAAUGUCUGGGAAAUGCCCGGUAGGGGGGGAUAACCUUCGGAAACGGGGGCUAAUACCGCAUACCUUCAGAUUAGCCUAGGUCGGAUUAGCUAGUUGGUGGGGUAAAGGCCUACCAAGGCGAUGAUCCGUAACUGGUCUGAGAGGAUGAUCAGUCACACUGGAACUGAGACACGGUCCAGACUCCUACGGGAGGCAGCAGUGGGGAAUAUUGGACAAUGGGCGAAAGCCUGAUCCAGCCAUGCCGCGUGUGUGAAGAAGGUCUUCGGAUUGUAAAGCACUUUAAGUUGGGAGGCGUUACCAACAGAAUAAGCACCGGCUAACUCCGUGCCAGCAGCCGCGGUAAUUC